rnacentral:rRNA from 1 species
AUUGAACGCUGGCGGCAUGCCUUACACAUGCAAGUCGAACGGCAGCACGGGUGCUUGCACCUGGUGGCGAGUGGCGAACGGGUGAGUAAUACAUCGGAACAUGUCCUGUAGUGGGGGAUAGCCCGGCGAAAGCCGGAUUAAUACCGCAUACGAUCUACGGAUGAAAGCGGGGGACCUUCGGGCCUCGCGCUAUAGGGUUGGCCGAUGGCUGAUUAGCUAGUUGGUGGGGUAAAGGCCUACCAAGGCGACGAUCAGUAGCUGGUCUGAGAGGACGACCAGCCACACUGGAACUGAGACACGGCCCAGACUCCUACGGGAGGCAGCAGUGGGGAAUUUUGGACAAUGGGCGAAGGCCUGAUCCAGCAAUGCCGCGUGUGUGAAGAAGGCCUUCGGGUUGUAAAGCACUUUUGUCCGGAAAGAAAACCUUGGCCCUAAUACGUUCGGGGGAUGACGGUACCGGAAGAAUAAGCACCGGCUAACUACGUG